CAACUUUCUCCUGCAACUGUAUUUACUUUUAAUCAGAACUAUUAAGGAUCCACUUACCCUGAAUUUUAUAUUGCAGAUUUACAAGCUUUGAUUAUUCUGUGUAUUAUCAAAUGGAUAGAAGCAUUUCCUUAUUGUUCUUCAUUCAAGGCAUUUUUUUGAAGUUCUGUGAUCCAUACAAUGUUGGUCUUUCAGGAGCAAAAAUAUUCUCAGGGCCCCUAAAUGAGCAGUUCGGAUACGCUGUCCAACAAUUCCAAAAUCAAGAUGGAAACUGGUUGCUUGUUAGUUCCCCUUGGAGUGGGUAUCCAAAGAACAGAAUGGGGGAUAUUUACAAGUGUCCUAUUGAUGCAUCAUCAGGGACCAAAUGUGACAAAAUGAAUUUAGCAACUGCAACAAUCAUUCAAAAUGUAACAGAGAAUAAAGAAGAAAUGAACCUUGGAUUGACCUUGCUUCGAAAUUUAAAUACUGGAGGAUUUUUGACAUGUGGACCUCUGUGGGCUCAGCAGUGUGGAAACAACUAUUAUACAACAGGAGUUUGCUCUGAUAUAAGUCCAACAUUCCAAGUGCUAAGAAGCUUUUCUCCCGCUCUUCAAACAUGCUCCGCUUUCAUUGAUAUAGCUAUUGUUUGUGAUGAAUCAAACAGUAUUUAUCCUUGGCCUGCUGUGAGGAAUUUUUUGGUAAAAUUUGUACAAGGGUUAGAUAUUGGACCAACAAAAACUCAGGUGAGUCUUAUCCAGUAUGGCAAUAAUCCUAGACUACUAUUUAACCUGAAUAGAUAUACAAAUAAAGAAGAUAUGGUAAAAGCAAUUGAUGAGACUAAUCAAUAUGGUGGAGAUCAGACCAACACAUUCAAAGCAAUCGAUUUCACAAGACAGUUUGCUUUCUCUUCGGCAAAUGGAGGUCGUUCAAAUGCAAACAAAGUCAUGGUUGUCAUCACUGAUGGAGAAUCACAUGAUAACUCAAGGUUAUCAGAAGUAAUUGGAAACUGCAACAAGGAUAACAUCCUCAGAUUUGGUAUUGCGGUUUUAGGAUAUUACAACAGACACAAUAUUGACAGCAGAAAACUUAUAAAUGAAAUCAAAUCUAUUGCAAGUACUCCAACAGAAAAUUAUUUCUUCAAUGUUUCCGAUGAAGUUGCAUUGUUGGAAAAAGCAGGAACUCUUGGAGAGCGAAUUUUUAGCAUUGAAGGGACUGUUCAAGGUGGGGAAACCUUUCAAAUGGAAAUGUCUCAAGUUGGAUUCAGUGCCCAGUACUCUCAAAAUAAGGGGAUCUUGGCUUUGGGAGCUGUUGGUGCAUAUGAUUGGGCUGGUACAGUGGUACAUCAAGACUCAGCACAGUUCACUAUAUUCCCAAAUAAUGCAUUUGAAAAAGUUCUUCAUGAUCGAAAUCAAAGUUCUUAUUUAGGGUAUUCUGUGGCUGUUCUGAACAUGCAGAAUUCUGUAAAUUUUGUGGCUGGAGCACCUAGAACAAAUUACACAGGCCAGGUUGUGGUAUAUAACAUUAACAAGGGAAAUGUUACAAUUUUGCAGAUUCAAAGGGGGGAACAGAUUGGCUCAUAUUUUGGAAGUGUUUUAUGUGCUGUUGACGUGGACAGAGAUUCCAUAACUGAUGUCCUUUUAGUUGGAGCACCAAUGUAUAUGAACGAGUAUAAAAAUGAAGAAGGUCAAGUCUUCAUGUUUUCUGUCAACAAGGGAAUUUUAGAACAACGUGAACACUUGGAAGGCCCCAAAAGUGCCGAAAACACCAGGUUUGGAGCUGCCAUAUCAGCAGUUUCAGAUAUUGAUUUGGAUGGUUUUAAUGAUGUUAUUGUUGGUGCACCUUUGGAAAACAACAACUAUGGAACAAUUUAUGUUUAUAAUGGAAACAAAAAUACCAUACGAACCAAAUAUUCUCAGAGAAUAUUAGGAUCCUCAGUCAGCCAGUCUAUCCAGUUCUUUGGAAGAUCGGUGGAUGGGCACAGUGAUUUAAAUGGUGAUUCCAUCAGUGACGUAUCAGUUGGUGCUUUUGGGCAAGUGAUUCAGCUAUGGUCACAGAGCAUAGCAGAUGUUUCCAUUAAGGCUUCAUUUAUACCAGAAUAUAUAACUCUUACCAACAAGAAUAGUGAAGUAACUGUAAAAAUAUGUUUAAGUGCUAAUUUUCGACCAUCCAACUCCAAAACCACAGUAGCUGUCAUAUACAAUGCAACUAUAGACGCUGAUCUCCAGUCAUCACGAGUAACCUCUAGAGGACAGUUUAAAGAAAAUAAUGAUCGACUUUUACAGAAAAGUGUUGAAAUUAGUUCAGUGGAAAGCUGCUUUGAGCACAUAUUCUAUGUUCAGGAGCCAUCAGAUGCAGACAAUGCCCUGGCUUUACGUAUUAAAAUUGCAGCUCAAAAUCCCAGUGCAAGCCCAGUAUUAAAUCCUUACUCCUCAGGUUCAAGUGAAUGGUUUAUUCCUUUUCUAAAGGAUUGCGGUGAGGACAAAAUUUGUAUCUCAGACAUUUCUCUACAGAUUCAGCCAAAACCAAGUGAUAUCAAACUACCAUUUAUUGUGAGCAGUAAAAACCGACGAGUUAUGUAUCAAGUGACUUUGAUGAAUAAAAGAGAGAACGCGUACAAUACAAGGAUAAAUGCUGUUUUCUCAAGGAACUUGUUCUUUGCAUCUUCCAGUACACCAAGUGAUGGAACUGAAGUGCUAUGUCAGGUUGGCAGCACACAGGAGUCAGUAUCUUGUCAAGUUGGUUUUCCAGUUUUGAAAGAAAAACAAAAGGUUUCCUUCGACAUUGGAUUUGAUUUCAACACCAAAUAUCUUGAGAACAAAGCAUUUAUAUAUUUCCAAGCCACCAGUGAAAGCAAUGAUGCUUAUGAAGGAGACAAUGCUGUAAACAUAUCUAUUCCAGUUCAGUAUGAUACAGAAAUUCAUUUUACAAGCGUCACCAAUAUAAACUUUUACGAGGUGUUUUCAGAUUCUAAUGUUGCAUCAGUAGUAAAUAAUUUUGAUGAAAUUGGUCCUGAAUUCAACUUCACUAUUAAGGUUAGCACCGGGACUAUUCCAAUUAACAUGGCAUUUAUAAAUAUUGAUUUGCCUCAAAAUACUAUGGAGAACAAUCCACUGAUGUAUAUCACUGCAGUAUAUACAGAGCAGGAUAGUGGAGUUGUUUGUAAUGCCAGUAUAAAUCCACUCCAAAUCGGAAAGAACAAAUAUAUACCAACAUUCAAAGAAGAAAAAUUUAAAAAUGAACAAAAAUUGAACUGUGACACUGCAGUAUGUUCCAAUGUGAAAUGUCUGCUUGCUGACCUCCAACUUAGAGAAGAAUAUUUCCUCAAUGUCUCUACCAGAAUCUGGAAUGGAACUUUUGCAGCUUCAAAGUUCCAGACCUUAGACUUAGUAGCAAGUGCUACAAUUGAAACAUUUAACCCUGAAAUAUAUUUGGUCAGCAACAAUAAAUUAAUGAUACCCCUAACUAUAUUAAAACCUGAUGUGAAAUCAGAGGUCCCAAUUGGAAUCGUGAUAGGAAGUGCUAUUGCGGGGCUGCUUCUCCUUGCUGCAUUGGUUGGAGUUUUGUGGAAGCCACCCAGCAUUCUGUCUGUCAGACAAAUGCUCAGAUCAUACCUUAGAUCAGAUCCCUGAUCAAUCGUGAUUAUGCUCUCCAGGGCUCUAUAUGGCUGCUGAUUUGCCUGCAAGAGCUUGGCUUCUUCAAGAGAAAAUAUCAAAAACUUCAGAAAAAUGAAGAUGAAAUUGCAGAAACUACUCAACUAAAUUAAGUCUCUGAUAAACACAAUGUAUACAACAAACAUUAUCAUGGUGCUUUUAGUCUGGUAUUUUUACAUAAAAAGAUUAAAAAAAAAAAUAUACACAGUAUUCUGUUUAGUAAGAUAAAUUAUAGGGGGUUUCUAUAGAACAUAUGCUUAAAACAACUGCUGGGCAGUUUUUAGUUUUUUAUAUAUUAGCAUGUCUAGCUGGUCUGGGGUACUUGCUAUUGAUAAUACAUUUUUGUAGGGAAACAAACAUGCUGUACAAUAUUGUUGUAAAUUUCUUAGAUUAUUAUUUCUUUAUUAUUGUUUACCACAGGAAAUCAAUCAUCAUAUUAAUAAAGAAUGUAAAAUAUCCUUUUUCAUCAAUACACUUGUUUGUACUUUUAUUUUUAUUACCAAUCAAUAGCUUUGUAUAUCAUUGUCAAUAUAUAUUUUAAAUAAUUAUAUUAUAAAGCCAGUGUGUAUUCAAAAAAUAAAUUCCCUUUCACUGAUUCAAAAACAUAUUUUAUGCUUAAUUAGUUCAGAGUAAUAUGUAUAUGAACUUUCAAUGUACCAAGUGAUAAUGUACUUGACAUUUAAAAGCUUUAUUGUGUACUUAAAGGGAUAGGAAAAUCAAAAUUAAACUUGCAGGAUUCAGAUAGAGCAUGAAAAUUUAAGACACGUUUCAAUUCACUUCUAUUUUCAAAUGUGCUUCCUUCUCUUGGUAUCCCUAUAUAUACACAUAUAUUGUCUCUUGUGAUUGGCUAACUAGAUGCAUUCAGCUAGCUGCCAGUUGUGCAAUUAUAUUCCUUUAGCAAAGGAUAACAAGAGAAUGAAGCAAAUUUGAUAAUAGAAGUAAACUGGAAAGUUGUUUAAAAUUGUAUGUUCUAUCCAAAUCAUGAAAUAAAAUGUUGGGGUUUCCUCUCCCUUUAAUGCAUAAAAUGUAUCUAGAUUAGCUUACCAUAGAGUGGCUAAAGGUACUGCACUCUAAAGUUUCCUCUACAAGCUAUUUGUAUGGCACUCUCUACACACUGCUGUCACAUAUUGCUUAAGAAAGUGUAUGCUCCUGAGGCUACUUCCAUAUGCCCUCAUGAAAAUUAACUCAUUCAUUUCAUGUUUCUUUAAUGUAAGCAAUAAAAUGGCUAUUCAGGUUACAGAAGCCUUUACAUUAAUACAAGACUUAUUUUUGUUGUAUAUAGAUUUCUUUAUUUUCUUUAAUGUUUAAGUUUCCUCACUGGAUUGCACUGGAUACAAUUAGAUUUACUAUUUUUAAGCUUAAAUUAAGCAGUUAACUAUAGUAGUUAAAUAUUUUUAUGUAAAGUAAAUUUAUUAAAACAAACCUUUAAACGAAAA